CAUCACAAGUGUUAUGAACCUAGAAGUGCUAUGGCAACCAGCAGCGCUUGUAGAAGCAGCAGCCGGUUGCUCCUUCAAAACUUGCCGAAACACGUGUUACCUCUAACAUAAGUACAGUCGUUGGAAGAUGAAGACGGGGUUUUUGGAUUAAACCACGGGUACGGUGAUCGCUCAGAGGAGGGUAAAGAGAGCCAGGAGAGGAGCCAUGCUGCCCCAGCUUGGAUUUAAUUCUGCUCCUAGAGUCUGGACAAAAUGGGACUCAUACUGACCAGAUAACGCUAAAUUGUUACGGGCCAAACAUUACGCUGAUCGUGCGGCCUCAUGGGAAAUCUGCCUACCAACAAGUGGCAGCAAGAGAGAAGGACACACCACAAGAAGCACCUGGAUUAUUCCCUGCAAACGCUGAUCCUGGUGAUGGCCUGCCUUGUUUGAUGUCUCGCUGUCCCUGUCCAAGGUGAAGAAGAGCGCUGCAGGCUAGUGACAUCGGACAGAAGUUUUAUUAGGUCAGAGGUCAUCAUCCGAUGUCUCAUUGACCGUCCGGGAAAAGAUGCAAGUGCCUUGAUGAAGGACUUUGAGAGUUGAGGAGCUCCGCAAGCGGCUGCAGGGGAAGCCUGUGCCAACCUGCGGGAGGAGUGUAUGAGUCCGGCCAGCCGCCUGCUCACAGAGCCCUCUGCUCCCGCCGUCACACAGACCGCUGCAGCAAACAGCAGAGGAAAACACAGCUGGAAGAUGGCUACACAACAGAAGCUGACGAUGGGAGUUCUUUUUUUGAGGGGGACAUACAAAAAUGACCAUGACUCCUAGUCCAAAUACAGUUCAUGAUUUAAUAAACUGGUUGAAGAAAUCAGUUGAACCUGAAUACAACUUCACUUUACAGUACGAGGACCCUACAACCGUACAGACAUUUCUGACCUCCCUGAGAAACCUACCAUCCGAAUUAUUCCUGUCCUGAUCUCAUCCCAGUGUCACAAAGUGAAAUAGCAGUGAUGUGAGCAGCCAACCUGACACAGAGAUCUUGUCUACCUCAUCUCUGGAUGGUCGAAAACAGUGGCCUGAGGUAUUUGACAUUCCAAAGUUUCCUGUAGACGUGGAUUACGCCAAGGAAAUCUGAUGUAUCUUCAUGAUGGCACUUACCUGAAAGUGACAAAGGAUAUGAAGCAUGAUAUUCUUGAGAAUCUGGCAGAGACAAUCUAUGGCUACAAAGCUUACCCAACGAAGGAGGAGUUUGAAGUUGUCGCAAAAGCCUUGGUAGCAGAACACCCCUGCCUUAAAGAGCAAAGCUCAUCAUCUGGCUGUCAGGGAUGGAUAAACAGUCUUAAAUUCAAAAUGGGGAAUUACAGAACAAAAUAUGCCAGCUGGGACGGCCUGAUGUAACAGUUAAUGGAGGUAAACGUGGAAUAAACAAUGCUGAUGGUGAGCCUUCUCGCAAAAACAUAAAGAAGCCAAGAAAAGGGGAGAUCAAUUACCUUCCAGAAUUACCAGAGGGAAUGGAUGUCGCAAGGCUUGAAGCUGUUCGAGAGGCCGUGGUCAAUGAAAUGCAGAGGAAAAACCCAAAUGAUUCUUAUUAGACAAAACAUGGACAUCACAUUUGCCCUUAGAAGGGAGGAGGUUGUAAAGCAUGAGCCUGACAUUAGCCAGAUGGUCCAACGCUGGCCAGCGCUUUUCACUGAAAGCCAGGUUUGUGAAAGUGUCCUUUAAAUAUCUUGUCUUUUUUUGUGUUACAUACAUAACUGGACAACAUGUGCGGAGAUGUUUAUUAAUGUUAUAAGUAACUCUGCCUGAAUAUCGAAAUUGAAGUUAUUUCAUAUUUUUCAGGUCGGAUAGGCAAGCAGUUAGCUGACCUGGUACAACAGACAACAUCUCUUUGCAGAGCACUGAGCCAACAGCCAUUAGAUGUCUUGUCCUGAAAGGACUUCCAGUCAUUCUUGGGGAUGAUGCGUCUACGUUCUUUAAGAGCAGUUUGAAUAUUAAUGACAUGUGGACAUUCCCGUGGGAAUCCUCUGCAAUGAGGACACCAGCGCUGCAAGCCCAGCAUCGCAACAACUAAACCCCUUAAGAGUGGGGAUCAUCCUAGAGGGCAGCCUUGUAAUGGAAGCACUCACCAACCUACCUCAGGCAAUGUGCCUCUUGUUUGGCUUUACCUACGCACUCCACCUGCAGUACCCCAAGUGCUUAAAAACACAUUUGCUUUCAUUCAGCAGGUAAUGCUAAAUUUGGGUCGAAGUGAGCUACCUCCCAAGGUUCAAAAGCUGAAGAAUGAUCUUGCGGUGUAAGACACAUUUAUGCUCAUGACACAAUUCUUCGUGUCUGUGUUUGGAUUGUUGCACAAAUACAUUGCACUCAAUGGAGCAAAUAUUCUUGCAGUUGCUCAUUUUGUAUGUGAUACUUCUUGUACUGCAUGUGUCCAGUGUUGUUCAUUUUACUGAAAUAAUUCUACAGAGGACACAUGUCAGAAAGUUGCAGUUUUUUAACAACUCUGGUCCUCACUGCAUAGUUGUUCUUAAAGCCUGCUUUGUUGUGUGGCACACAUAGCAUACAGUUUUUCCUUUUGCACUCGCAGUAUGCUACUACAUUUUUUUUCAUACUUGAAAAUUGUUCACAGAGCAAAAAAUUACAAAACUAUGCUGUGAUUGUAUUUGGAAGGAAAUCGUUUCCUAAUUCAAUACACAUGUUCUGUUUGCUGCAUCAUAGCAAGGUACUGUAAUGUUUGUACUGCUUUGUUGCUGCUAAAUAAAAUAAAUGAAAUGUA